UCCUUAUGCUGGAAGAUCAUAUUUGUGUUUCUGUUGUGUAAAAAGACAACAGAAGAGCCUUCGAAGAAGAGAGAAGGCAAGAAGAUAAAGCAGGUCCAUCAGCCUCCACCUCUACCUCCAUCAGUGGUGUCAUCCACGAAGCUGACAACGCUGGUCUACCUGUGCCUACUGAAGUGGAGAGCAUUACCGUCGUGCUUAACCACCACACCUGGCUCUCCAGUUUCUACUCCUCCAGUGGAUCCAGCUGACUGGACAUCAGUCCUUAAUGACCAGUUGAUGCGGUGAGCGGUAAAACCAACGCAGGUUGGCAGAGACAUUUUGACUUUUUCAAAAAGACACUCAGACAGUAAAAGUCUUUUCUAUCAUUACAUGUUUAGAUCUCUCAUAAAGAAGCUGGUUGAGAAAAUGAUGCUAUCAACUGUUUUGUAGUUUUUGUCUCUUAAACUCUUGUUUGGCUGUAUUUAAAGAUUUAAGCUUAUCAGUCUUUUUAUUCAGCACUA